AACGAACGCUGGCGGCAGGCUUAACACAUGCAAGUCGAGCGCCUCGCAAGAGGAGCGGCAGACGGGUGAGUAACGCGUGGGAAUCUACCGGGCCCUAAGGAAUAACGCAUGGAAACGUGUGCUAAUACCUUAUACGUCCUUCGGGAGAAAGAUUUAUCGGGGUUUGAUGAGCCCGCGUUGGAUUAGCUAGUUGGUGGGGUAAAGGCCUACCAAGGCGACGAUCCAUAGCUGGUCUGAGAGGAUGAUCAGCCACAUUGGGACUGAGACACGGCCCAAACUCCUACGGGAGGCAGCAGUGGGGAAUAUUGGACAAUGGGCGCAAGCCUGAUCCAGCCAUGCCGCGUGAGUGAUGAAGGCCUUAGGGUUGUAAAGCUCUUUCACCGAUGAAGAUAAUGACGGUAGUCGGAGAAGAAGCCCCGGCUAACUUCGUGCCAGCCGCCGCCGUAAAAC
rnacentral:rRNA from 1 species